rnacentral:rRNA from 1 species
UACGAAGGGGGCUAGCGUUGUUCGGAAUUACUGGGCGUAAAGCGCGUGUAGGCGGGUCUUAAGUCAGGGGUGAAAUGCCAAGGCUCAACCUUGGAACUGCCUUUGAUACUGGAGAUCUUGAGUCCGGGAGAGGUGAGUGGAACUGCGAGUGUAGAGGUGAAAUUCGUAGAUAUUCGCAAGAACACCAGUGGCGAAGGCGGCUCACUGGCCCGGAACUGGACGCUGAGACGCGAAAGCGUGGG